GGGGGGGGCGGGCGGGGGGGGGAGGGCGGGCGGGGCGGGGGGGCGGACGGGGAGCGGGCGGUGCUGAGGUUGGCGGCGGGCGGGUGGGUAACACGUGGAUCACCUACCUCUAAGACUGGGAUCACUUCGGGAAACCGGAGCUAAUACCGGAUAAUAUUUUGAACCGCCUGGUUCCAAAGUGAACGACGCUCUUGCUGUCACUUAUCGAUGGAUCCGCGCUGCAUUAGCUAGUUGGUAAGGUAACGGCUUACCAAGGCAACGAUGCAUAGCCGACCUGAGAGGGUGAUCGGCCACACGGGAACUGAGACACGGUCCAGACUCCUACGGGAGGCAGCAGUAGGGAAUCUUCCGCAAUGGGCGAAAGCCUGACGGAGCAACGCCGCGUGAGUGAUGAAGGUCUUCGGAUCGUAAAACUCUGUUAUUAGGGAAGAACAUAUGUGUAAGUAACUGUGCACAUCUUGACGGUACCUAAUCAGAAAGCCACGGCUAACUACGUG
rnacentral:rRNA from 1 species